AAAAUUGGCUUCUACUGUGAGUGGCACCUCACAGCUUGCUCUGUGCGGAAUUGACAUCAAGAGAUUUUGGAAGCAUAAUUUUUUUGGCAGUGGGGCAAUUGGUGAUCAUUAGAAGGAGGUAGUGGGAGGAAAGUCACAUUUUUAUUCCAUUUGCUCAG
rnacentral:snRNA from 1 species